CCUACGGGGUGCAGCAGUGGGGAAUAUUGGGCAAUGGGCGCAAGCCUGACCCAGCAACGCCGCGUGAAGGAAGAAGGCUUUCGGGUUGUAAACUUCUUUUAGGGGGGAAGAGCAGAAGACGGUACCCCUUGAAUAAGCCACGGCUAACUACGUGCCAGCAGCCGCGGUAAUACGUAGGUGGCAAGCGUUGUCCGGAUUUACUGGGUGUAAAGGGCGUGCAGCCGGAGAGACAAGUCAGAUGUGAAAUCCACGGGCUCAACCCGUGAACUGCAUUUGAAACUGUUUCCCUUGAGUGUCGGAGAGGUAAUCGGAAUUCCUUGUGUAGCGGUGAAAUGCGUAGAUAUAAGGAAGAACACCAGUGGCGAAGGCGGAUUACUGGACGAUAACUGACGGUGAGGCGCGAAAGCGUGGGGAGCAAACAGGAUUAGAUACCCCAGUAGUC
rnacentral:rRNA from 1 species